GAUGAACGCUGGCGGCGUGUCUAAUACAUGCAAGUCGAGCGAACGGACGAGAAGCUUGCUUCUCUGAUGUUAGCGGCGGACGGGUGAGUAACACGUGGAUAACCUACCUAUAAGACUGGGAUAACUUCGGGAAACCGGAGCUAAUACCGGAUAAUAUUUUGAACCGCAUGGUUCAAAAGUGAAAGACGGUCUUGCUGUCACUUAUAGAUGGAUCCGCGCUGCAUUAGCUAGUUGGUAAGGUAGCGGCUUACCAAGGCAACGAUGCAUAGCCGACCUGAGAGGGUGAUCGGCCACACUGGAACUGAGACACGGUCCAGACUCCUACGGGAGGCAGCAGUAGGGAAUCUUCCGCAAUGGGCGAAAGCCUGACGGAGCAACGCCGCGUGAGUGAUGAAGGUCUUCGGAUCGUAAAACUCUGUUAUUAGGGAAGAACAUAUGUGUAAGUAACUGUGCACAUCUUGACGGUACCUAAUCAGAAAGCCACGGCUAACUACGUG
rnacentral:rRNA from 1 species